rnacentral:rRNA from 1 species
AGUGAACGCUGGCGGUAUGCCUAACACAUGCAAGUCGAACGGCAGCACAGUAAGAUCUUGCUCUUACGGGUGGCGAGUGGCGGACGGGUGAGGCAUACAUCGGAAUCUACUUUUUCGUGGGGGAUAACGUAGGGAAACUUACGCUAAUACCGCAUACGACCUACGGGUGAAAGCAGGGGAUCAUCGGACCUUUCGCGAUUGAAUGAGCCGAUGUCGGAUUAGCUAGUUGGCGGGGUAAAGGCCCACCAAGGCGACGAUCCGUAGCUGGUCUGAGAGGAUGAUCAGCCACACUGGAACUGAGACACGGUCCAGACUCCUACGGGAGGCAGCAGUGGGGAAUAUUGGACAAUGGGCGCAAGCCUGAUCCAGCCAUACCGCGUGGGUGAAGAAGGCCUUCGGGUUGUAAAGCCCUUUUGUUGGGAAAGAAAAGCAGCAGGUUAAUACCCCGCUGUUCUGACGGUACCCAAAGAAUAAGCACCGGCUAACUUCGUG